UCUCUGGUAGCUCAGAUGGUAAAGUGUCUGCCUGCAGCGCAGAAGACCCAGGUUUGAUUCCUGGGUCGGGAA
rnacentral:tRNA from 1 species